rnacentral:tRNA from 1 species
GGGGGUGUAUCUCAAUGGUAGAGAACUUGCCUAGGACAUAUGAGGUACUGAGUUUGAUACCCAGUGCCACCA